AUCGCGAUAGCCCAGUUGGUAGUGGCGUCGGCAGUACAGAUGCUGAAGGUCGCAGGGUUAAAUCCUGCCUGCGGUG